UAAGCGGAGGAAAAGAAACUAACAAGGAUUCCCCUAGUAACGGCGAGUGAAGAGGGAAGAGCCCAAGAUUGAAAGCUGGCGUCUUCGGCGUCCGCAUUGUAAUCUCAAGAAGUGUUUUCCGCUUCGGACCAUGCCUAAGUCCCUUGGAAAAGGGCAUCAUAGAGGGUGAUAAUCCCGUACAUGGCAUGGAGCGCCCGAAGCUUUGUGAUACGCUUUCUAAGAGUCGAGUUGUUUGGGAAUGCAGCUCAAAAUGGGUGGUAAAUGCCAUCUAAGGCUAAAUAUUGGGGAGAGACCGAUAGCGAACAAGUACAGUGAUGGAAAGAUGAAAAGAACUUUGAAAAGAGAGUUAAACAGUACGUGAAAUUGCCAAAAGGGAAGGGUAGGAGGUCAGAGAUGCGUUCUGGGAUUCAGCCUUGCUUUUGCUUGGUGUUUUUCCCAGAUUGCAGGCCAACGUCGGUUUUGGUCGCUGGAGAAGGGUGGAAGGAAUGUGGCACCUCUCGGGGUGUGUUAUAGCCUUCUACUGGAUACAGUGACCGGGACCGAGGACAGCAGCGUACUCGCAAGAGCGGGCCUUCGGGCACCUUUACGCUUAGGGCGUUGGCAUAAUGGCCCUCUACCACCCGUCUUGAAACACG
rnacentral:rRNA from 1 species